AUAUGAGAGAAUUGUUUUGUGGUGAAUGAAGGAAGUUUUGGUAGGUAUUUAUAGGAGAAGGAUUGGAAGGUAGAAAGAAAAAGUGGUUGAAAAGUAAUUAAGUGUGGUAAAUGAAAAAUGAAUGGGGAAUGUAAAAAAUUAAAGUGUAACGUUCGUCUCCAACGGCUCCUUAACGUUCACUUGUCUGAAGGGCGUUACGCUCGUCACAGGG
rnacentral:lncRNA from 1 species